rnacentral:rRNA from 1 species
CCUACGGGAGGCAGCAGUGGGGAAUAUUGGGCAAUGGGCGCAAGCCUGACCCAGCAACGCCGCGUGAAGGAAGAAGGCUUUCGGGUUGUAAACUUCUUUUCUCAGGGACGAAGCAAGUGACGGUACCUGAGGAAUAAGCCACGGCUAACUACGUGCCAGCAGCCGCGGUAAUACGUAGGUGGCAAGCGUUAUCCGGAUUUACUGGGUGUAAAGGGAGUGUAGGCGGGAAAGCAAGUCAGAUGUGAAAACCAUGGGCUCAACCUGUGGCCUGCAUUUGAAACUGUUUUUCUUGAGUACUGGAGAGGCAGACGGAAUUCCUAGUGUAGCGGUGAAAUGCGUAGAUAUUAGGAGGAACACCAGUGGCGAAGGCGGUCUGCUGGACAGCAACUGACGCUGAGGCGCGAAAGCGUGGGGAGCAAACAGGAUUAGAUACCCGAGUAGUC